rnacentral:sRNA from 1 species
CUUUCUUGAGCUCAACAUGCAAUCGCCAGGAACGUCCCGCUGCUACUUUCUCACCCCAUUAUUACGCCCGUUGCUCGGAAGCAUGACAAACAUCUGCCCAGGUCGUCCUCCGUUGGGCCACACAACGAGGUAUCGCUAUCAUCCCUAAGAGCAACUCUAAAACCCGUCUCCUUGGGAAUCUAGGCGUCAAUGAUUUCGGCCUUGAGCAAAACGAAAUCGACGGAAUCAGUGCCUUCAACAGGAAUCUUAGGUUCCACAAUCCCCUAAACGUAUCCCCGCGCAGUCGAGGUUGAUUGGUCUAGAGUGAUCGUUACGGAUCCUUACCCUUCCACCUUUGCAGUAACUACGGGAUCCCAUUGCCAAUCUUUGCUUAAAUGGCUAUACCUAUAGAGGUUCUCAAUGUGACCGUUUUUCACCCUCCAUAAUGAGUAGUAUGACCUCGAAAGCAGCCACAUAAUUUUAUCCAAACAGAUAUAUAUAUCUAUUAAGAUAAUUCGUUCAUCCAUCCUCAUCCUCGCCAGCAUCAACAUUAAAUUUCUUACGUCGAGACCCUGCACCUGCAAGAUUUUUCAGAUUCACC